rnacentral:rRNA from 1 species
AACGAACGCUGGCGGCAUGCCUAACACAUGCAAGUCGAACGAGUGGCGGACGGGUGAGUAAUGUCUGGGAAACUGCCUGAUGGAGGGGGAUAACUACUGGAAACGGUAGCUAAUACCGCAUACCAUCGGAUGUGCCCAGAUGGGAUUAGCUAGCAGGUGGGGUAAUGGCUCACGUAGGCGACGAUCCCUAGCUGGACUGAGAGGAUGACCAGCCACACGGGAACUGAGACAAGGUCCAGACUCCUACGGGAGGCAGCAGUGGGGAAUCUUGCACAAUGGACGAAAGCCUGAUGCAGCCAUGCCGCGUGUGUGAAGAAGGCCUUCGGGUUGUAAAGCACUUUCGGCGGGGAGGCGUUACUCGCCGAAGAAGCACCGGCUAACUCCGUGCCAGCCGCCGCGGUAAUUC